AUGGAGAGUUUCAUCUUGUUCAGAGGAAGUAAACGGGUGACUGUAAAGGAAGACGACAUGACGACCGAAAAAAUCGGCAGGAUCUUCCAGGUACAUGGCCCCAGUCUCUACAUCACCGAUGACAGCAACGUAGCCCUAUUUCCUGGGCCUGAUGGCCACUUUAGCACUUUAGACCUCAUAGUAAGGGGGCAUUACGAGGUGCACGGCGAGAGUAUCAGCGUGGAGGACUCAUCUACCGGCAGUGUGCCAGUAACACACAACCCUACCCGCUUUUCCUUCCACCGCCCACCCAGCGCUGCUGCAGGUUCUGGUGCAAGGGCUUCUGCAAAUCCAAGAGCUACCCUGGCAAAAACAUUCCAAAGGAACAUCUUCAUCGCUGAACUUGUGAAUGGCAACUUGGAGACAAGCAAAACGCUGACUGUGCGUUUUUCAGAAUUUGAGGCUUCUGUUAUGGGCAUCCUCAGCAAAGUCAAUGAUGCUCUUGAAGAAGAGGAUUCACGCAUCCUCACUGACGGCCAGGGAAACAAAAUCUUGGACUCGGAAGGAACCAGAGUCGACGAGAAGAUACAGGCCUCGAAGGCGUUUUUGAUAGAAUUGAAGAGGUGGUCCUGGCAGCCCAGGGACUGCAAGAAGUGUCCACUACAAUGA
rnacentral:lncRNA from 1 species